CCAAUAGCGUAUAUUAAAGUUGUUGCAGUUAAAAAGCUCGUAGUUGAAUUUCGGGAUUAGUACGCUGGUCGUGCCUUCGGUAUGCACUGGUGUCACUGAUUCCUCCCUUCUGAAGAACCGUAAUGCCAUUCAGUUGGUGUGGCGGGGAAUCAGGAUUGUUACUUUGAAAAAAUUAGAGUGUUUAAAGCAGGCUCGCGCUUGAAUACAUUAGCAUGGAAUAAUGAAAUAGGACGUUUGAUCCUAUUUUGUUGGUUUCUAGGAUCGACGUAAUGAUUAAUAGGGAUAGUUGGGGGCAUUAGUAUUCAAUUGUCAGAGGUGAAAUUCUUGGAUUUAUUGAAGACUAACUACUGCGAAAGCAUUUGCCAAGGAUGUUUUCCUUAAUCAAGAACGAAAGUUAGGGGAUCGAAGACGAUCAGAUACCGUCGUAGUCUUAACCAUAAACUAUGCCGACUAGGGAUCGGAUGAUGUUAAUUUUUAAUGACUCAUUCGGCGCCUUACG
rnacentral:rRNA from 1 species